GACGAACGCUGGCGGCGUGCUUAACACAUGCAAGUCGAACGGACAGGCCAUGCUUUUGCGGGCUGCACGAGAGGCGAACGGGUGCGUAAGACGUGGGUACCCUGCGCUUACCUUUGGGGUAACUUCAGGUAACUGGGGCUAAUACUAGCUAAGAGCUCCUACUACUUGGUGUGGGUUGGUAAGUUUCGGCGGUUGGGGAUGGACCCGCGGCCUGUCAGCUUGUUGGUGGGUUAGUGGCUAGGCGAGGCUUUGGCGGUUAGCCGGCCUGAGAGGGUGACCGGCCACAUUGGGACUGAGAUACGGCCCAGACUCCUACGUGAGGCAGCAGUGGGGAAUAUUGCACAAUGGGCGGAGGCCGGAUGCAGCAACGCCGCGUGCGGGAUGACGGCCUUCGGGUUGUAAACCGCUUUCGCCUGUGACGAAGCGUGAGUGACGGUAAUGUGUAAAGAAGCACCGGCUAACUACGUG
rnacentral:rRNA from 1 species